rnacentral:lncRNA from 1 species
UAUAGUGGUGAACUUGGAAAGAGCUCUGGUGCUGUGUGACGGCAGCCAUGGCAGCAUUUCAAGUGGGAGCAUCUCCGUCGUUUCCGAGUGAAAAUUAAUAAUUAGAUUAUAUUAAUUUUGAACCAGAUAAAGAUUAAAGUAAAGAUUGAACAGAAGAUUAGAUUUUGUGGGGGGAUUUUGAUUAAUUAAUAUUGAUUCUUGUUAGAACCCUUGGUUCGAUUCAUGGAAAUUUCAACCAUUUUUUUGUGGCACCAUUGUUGAUUAGUUGGUGUUCAUCAUUAUUU